AUUGAACGCUGGCGGCAGGCCUAACACAUGCAAGUCGAGCGGCAGCGGGAAAGUAGCUUGCUACUUUUGCCGGCGAGCGGCGGACGGGUGAGUAAUGCCUGGGAAAUUGCCCAGUCGAGGGGGAUAACAGUUGGAAACGACUGCUAAUACCGCAUACGCCCUACGGGGGAAAGCAGGGGACCUUCGGGCCUUGCGCGAUUGGAUAUGCCCAGGUGGGAUUAGCUAGUUGGUGAGGUAAUGGCUCACCAAGGCGACGAUCCCUAGCUGGUCUGAGAGGAUGAUCAGCCACACUGGAACUGAGGCACGGGCCAGACUCCUACGGGAGGCAGCAGUGGGGAAUAUUGCACAAUGGGGGAAACCCUGAUGCAGCCAUGCCGCGUGUGUGAAGAAGGCCUUCGGGUUGUAAAGCACUUUCAGCGAGGAGGAAAGGUUGAUGCCUAAUACGUAUCAACUGUGACGUUACUCGCAGAAGAAGCACCGGCUAACUCCGUGCCAGCAGCCGCAGUAA
rnacentral:rRNA from 1 species